UACGAAGGGGGCUAGCGUUGCUCGGAAUCACUGGGCGUAAAGCGCACGUAGGCGGCUUCUUAAGUCAGGGGUGAAAUCCUGGAGCUCAACUCCAGAACUGCCUUUGAUACUGAGGAGCUUGAGUCCGGGAGAGGUGAGUGGAACUCCGAGUGUAGAGGUGAAAUUCGUAGAUAUUCGCAAGAACACCAGUGGCGAAGGCGGCUUACUGGUCCGGUUCUGACGCUGAGGCGCGAAAGCGUGGGGAGCAAACAGG
rnacentral:rRNA from 1 species